GAUACAGAGAGAGAUACAGAGAGAGAUACAGAGAGAGAUACAGAGAGAUACAGAGAGAGAGGAAGGGGUAGAUACAGAGAGAUACAGAGAGAGAGGAAGGGGGUAGAUACAGAGAGAUACAGAGAGAUACAGAGAGAGAUACAAAGAGAUACAGAGAGAGAGGAAGGGGUAGAUACAGAGAGAUACAGAGAGAGAGGAAGGGAGAGAUACAGAGAGAUACAGAGAGAGAGGAAGGGGUAGAUACAGAGAGAUACAGAGAGAGAGGAAGGGAGAUACAGAGAGAGAGGAAGGGGUAGAUACAGAGAGAUACAGAGAGAGAGGAAGGGGG
ensembl:lncRNA